rnacentral:tRNA from 1 species
GGAGACGUCGCAUAGUCCGGCCGAGUGCACCACCCUGCUAAGGUGGAGAACCCUUUAGUGGGUUCCGUGGGUUCAAAUCCCACCGUCUCCGCCA